rnacentral:rRNA from 1 species
GUAAGGAAUAUUGGUCAAUGGACGCAAGUCUGAACCAGCCAUGCCGCGUGAAGGAUGACGGCCCUAUGGGUUGUAAACUUCUUUUGUACGGGAAAAAACCCCUGGUCGUGAACCGGGGCUGAUGGUACCGUAAGAAUAAGCAUCGGCUAACUCCGUGCCAGCAGCCGCGGUAAUACGGAGGAUGCAAGCGUUAUCCGGAUUCAUUGGGUUUAAAGGGUGCGUAGGCGGGAUAAUAAGUCAGUGGUGAAAUCCUGCAGCUUAACUGCAGAACUGCCAUUGAUACUGUUAACCUUGAGUACAUUUGAAGUGGGCGGAAUGUGUCAUGUAGCGGUGAAAUGCUUAGAUAUGACGCAGAACUCCGAUAGCGAAGGCAGCUCACUAAACUGUAACUGACGCUGAGGCACGAAAGCGUGGGGAUCAAACAGGAUUAGAAACCCUGGUAGUCC